rnacentral:rRNA from 1 species
AUUGAACGCUGGCGGCAUGCCUUACACAUGCAAGUCGAACGGUAACAGGUUAAGCUGACGCGAGGCGAACGGGUGAGUAAUGUAUCGGUACGUGCCCAGUCGUGUGGCAUAACUGCUCGAAAGAGCAGCUAAUACCGCAUACGACCUGAGGGUGAAACCGGGGAAUCGCAAGACCUCGCGCGAUUGUAGCAGCCGAUAUCGGAUAAGUUAGUUGGCGAGGUAAAGGCUCACCAAGCCGACGAUCUGUAGCUGGGCUGAGAGGACGACCAGCCACACUGGGGUUGAAACACGGCCCAGACCCCUACGGGAGGCAGCAGUGGGGAAUUUUGGCCAAUGGGCGCAAGCCUGAUCCAGCAAUGCCGCGUGAGGGAAGAAGGCCUUCGGGUUGUAAACCGCUUUUGUCAGGGAAGACAAGGUUCUGGCUAAUAACUGGGACUCAUGACGGUAACUGAAGAAUAAGCACCGGCUAACUACGUG